UAGACAAAUGGAGACACUUUGGAGACAAAUCCUGUUGGAGAACAUGCUAUGAUUAUUAAAUACAUAGUUUGCUGAACAUUACCGUACUUUGAUAAGCCACUGUGUGUGUGUGUGUGUGUGUGUGUGUGUGUGUGGAGAUUUUAGCCCCCCCCCCAGCUAAUAAAUAGCUAGAAGCCUUGCACCUGAUGUUACUGAGUAAUUCUAA